rnacentral:tRNA from 1 species
GGGCCCGUGGUCUAGUCUGGAUUAGGACGCUGGCCUGCGGAGCCGGAGAUCUGGGGUUCAAAUCCCCACGGGCCCGCCA